UACGUAGGGGUCGAGCGUUGUCCGGAGUUACUGGGCGUAAAGCGCGCGCAGGCGGCGCGAUAAGACCGGCGUGAAAGCCCCCGGCUCAACCGGGGAGGGUCGUUGGUGACUGUCGCGCUUGAAGGCAGCAGGGGUGAGUGGAAUUCCCGGUGUAGUGGUGAAAUGCGUAGAUAUUGCUCGGAAGGCCAGAGCCGAAGGGGCCCUACUGGUACGUAACUGACACUGAGGCACGAAAGCGUGGGGAGCAAACAGG
rnacentral:rRNA from 1 species